rnacentral:lncRNA from 1 species
ACAACAAUUCCCUUAGCCAAGCUUGGUAAUAACUUCAUUCAAAGCUGAUGCAGUCUCAGCAUAGUACUUUUCUGCUUCAGGGGUGCUCUUGAUCUUGGCUGCAUGGUCAAGCUACACGGAAAAAAAAUUCAUAUCAGUAUGGUAAGUUAUAAUGUUUCGUUAAAUAAUAUAAAUUAAUCUGUAAACUUCAAAACUUACUCCAUCAAUGGUAUUGAAGAGCUUUUUAGUGAGUUCAUCGAGAGAUUUCUUUUCAUCUUUGGGCCUGGAAGAAAUAACAGUUUUAAGGUCAAAGCGGAGGUACUCAGCCUUGAGACGAAGGUCAUUCAUGACAUAGGGCCAUGCUUUUUUGUCGAUCAAGGUCUUGACACCAAGGAUGUCUUUGGCUGAUUCCUUUGCCCUCUGAGCCGCUUGUGCCGGAGUCAAUGGUUGGAGGAAAAACCGAUCUUUGUACGGCAGAUCAAGGUCUCUUGGCUCAUCGGAAUUCAAAGUUCCGGCUGCCAACAACAUGGUUUGGCUAUCAAAUUAUUGAACCGUAUCACAUGCUGAUGAUUGGGUUAAUUGUACCAAAUGUCUUUUUCAGGUAAAAGUACAUGGAGUCCUCUGUAUUAGUCGGAUUGUAUUUUAUUUUUUCUACUUAAAAAAUGAGUAAAUUAGUUUCUCUACACUCAAUCAAAGAGUAAACUAGUUCUUUUGUUAAAAAUUUAAUCCAUUUUGUGUUAAAAAUUGGUCUUUAUACAUGUAACACAUUAAGUAUCCUAUUUGAUUAUUCUAUUAUUCACGUUAGUUUUUAAUAGUAUAAAUCAAUAAAAAUUUUAACAAAAAAGGCCAAUUUACUCUUGAAUCUAAUAUAUAUAGUUUAAUUUGUCCACUUUUUAGUAAAAAUUGCAAAAUGUUAUUUAACUCUUAGUAUAAGAGUUUCCAUGAUAUAAUUGCUCUUUUUCACUACCACCCAUAUUUUAAAUCCAUUUCAAACUUCAGAACAUUUUAAUUAUAUCUUCAAAGUAUUAUGAAGGUAUCAAUCAUGUCCUGAUUAGCCAAUUUAAGCUAAUAGCAUUAGCUUAGGAGUUAAAUACUAGCUGUAAUCGAAGCAAGUAAAGUGAUGAUUUGAAUGGGUAAUUGAAGAAGACUUACGCAAUCCACCGGAGGGCGGUGGAGGCGGGCCAACCUUG